rnacentral:rRNA from 1 species
AUUGAACGCUGGCGGCAUGCUUUACACAUGCAAGUCGGACGGCAGCACAGAGAAGCUUGCUUCUUGGGUGGCGAGUGGCGAACGGGUGAGUAACAUAUCGGAACGUACCGAGCAGUGGGGGAUAACUAAUCGAAAGAUUAGCUAAUACCGCAUAUCUUCUGAGGAAGAAAGCAGGGGACCAUUUGGCCUUGCGCUGUUUGAGCGACCGAUAUCUGAUUAGCUAGUUGGUGGGGUAAAGGCCUACCAAGGCGACGAUCAGUAGCGGGUCUGAGAGGAUGAUCCGCCACACUGGGACUGAGACACGGCCCAGACUCCUACGGGAGGCAGCAGUGGGGAAUUUUGGACAAUGGGCGCAAGCCUGAUCCAGCCAUGCCGCGUGUCUGAAGAAGGCCUUCGGGUUGUAAAGGACUUUUGUCAGGGAAGAAAAGGGCGGGGUUAAUACCCCUGUCUGAUGACGGUACCUGAAGAAUAAGCACCGGCUAACUACGUG